AGAGUUUGAUCCUGGCUCAGAGUGAACGCUGGCGGCGUGCCUAACACAUGCAAGUCGAACGAGAACGGGUAUUAGUUUACUAAUACUGUCAGCUAAGUGGCGCACGGGUGAGUAAUAUAUAGUUAACCUGCCUCAAAGAAGAGAAUAAUUGUUGGAAACGACUUGUAAUGCUCUAUAUGCCUUUAUCACAUAAGUGAGCAAGGGAAAUAUUUAUAGCUUUGAGAUGGGACUGUACGGUAUCAGUUUGUUGGUGAGGUAAUGGCUCACCAAGACUAUGACGCCUAACUGGUUUGAGAGGAUGAUCAGUCACACUGGAACUGAGACACGGUCCAGACUCCUACGGGAGGCAGCAGUGGGGAAUAUUGCACAAUGGAGGAAACUCUGAUGCAGCAACGCCGCGUGGAGGAUGACACAUUUCGGUGCGUAAACUCCUUUUAUUANGGAAGAUAAUGACGGUACCUAAUGAAUAAGCACCGGCUAACUCCGUGCCAGCAGCCGCGGUAAUACGGGGGGUGCAAGCGUUACUCGGAAUCACUGGGCGUAAAGAGCAUGUAGGCUGGUUUGUAAGUUGGAAGUGAAAUCCUAUGGCUUAACCAUAGAACUGCU
rnacentral:rRNA from 1 species